rnacentral:ncRNA from 1 species
AAAGUAGAGGUUGCGCUGCUUAAGAGUAAGUAUCCGGAUAUGUGUGGCAUAGGAGAAGGAUAUUGAAAGGAAUCGGCGCCGAAACGGAAAGAAUCCACCAUUCUUUUUUGUUGGGCAUAGGGUGAAGAACCCUAUGACUGUCGCUUGAAAAGGCGGGGUGCUACUGAA